rnacentral:tRNA from 1 species
GCUGGCUCAGUCGGUAGAGCAUGAGACUCUUGGUCUCGGAGUUGUGAGUUCAAGUCCCACAUGGGGCA